UACGAAGGGGGCGAGCGUUGUUCGGAUUUACUGGGCGUAAAGGGCGCGCAGGCGGCUACAUUUGUCAGGCGUGAAAGCCCCGGGCUUAACCUGGGAACUGCGUUUGAUACGGUGUGGCUAGAGUUCGGGAGAGGAGGGUGGAAUUCCCGAGUGUAGAGGUGAAAUUCGUAGAUAUUGGGAAGAACACCGGUGGCGAAGGCGGCUCUCUGGACCGAGACUGACGCUGAGGCGCGAAAGCGUGGGGAGCAAACAGG
rnacentral:rRNA from 1 species